rnacentral:rRNA from 1 species
AUUGAACGCUGGCGGCAGGCCUAACACAUGCAAGUCGAGCGGGGUUUUCGGACCUAGCGGCGGACGGGUGAGUAAUGCGUAGGAAGCUGCCCGAUAGAGGGGGAUACCAGUUGGAAACGACUGUUAAUACCGCAUAAUGUCUACGGACCAAAGUGUGGGACCUUCGGGCCACAUGCUAUCGGAUGCGCCUACGUGGGAUUAGCUAGUUGGUGAGGUAAUGGCUCACAAAGGCGACGAUCUCUAGCUGGUUUGAGAGGAUGAUCAGCCACACUGGAACUGAGACACGGUCCAGACUCCUACGGGAGGCAGCAGUGUGGAAUAUUGGACAAUGGGCGCAAGCCUGAUCCAGCCAUGACGCGUGUGUGAAGAAGGCCUUCGGGUUGUAAAGCACUUUCAGCGAGGAGGAAGGGUGGUGUGUUAAUAGCACAUCAUUUUGACGUUACUCGCAGAAGAAGCACCGGCUAACUCUGUGCCAGCAGCCGCAGUAACAC